GACGAACGCUGGCGGCGUGCCUAAUACAUGCAAGUUGAGCGCUGAAGGUUGGUACUUGUACCGACUGGAUGAGCAGCGAACGGGUGAGUAACGCGUGGGGAAUCUGCCUUUGAGCGGGGGACAACAUUUGGAAACGAAUGCUAAUACCGCAUAAAAACUUUAAACACAAGUUUUAAGUUUGAAAGAUGCAAUUGCAUCACUCAAAGAUGAUCCCGCGUUGUAUUAGCUAGUUGGUGAGGUAAAGGCCCACCAAGGCGAUGAUACAUAGCCGACCUGAGAGGGUGAUCGGCCACAUUGGGACUGAGACACGGCCCAAACUCCUACGGGAGGCAGCAGUAGGGAAUCUUCGGCAAUGGACGAAAGUCUGACCGAGCAACGCCGCGUGAGUGAAGAAGGUUUUCGGAUCGUAAAACUCGGUUGGUAGAGAAGAACGUUGGUGAGAGUGGAAAGCUCAUCAAGUGACGGUAACUACCCAGAAAGGGACGGCUAACUACGUG
rnacentral:rRNA from 1 species